UUGGGCGUAAGAGCUCGUAGGCGGUUUGUCGCGUCUGCUGUGAAAUCCCGAGGCUCAACUUCGGGCUUGCAGUGGGUACGGGCAGACUAGAGUGCGGUAGGGGAGAUUGGAAUUCCUGGUGUAGCGGUGGAAUGCGCAGAUAUCAGGAGGAACACCGAUGGCGAAGGCAGAUCUCUGGGCCGUAACUGACGCUGAGGAGCGAAAGCAUGGGGAGCGAACAGGAUUAGAUACCCUGGUAGUCCAUGCCGUAAACGUUGGGCGCUAGAUGUAGGGACCUUUCCACGGUUUCUGUGUCGUAGCUAACGCAUUAAGCGCCCCGCCUGGGGAGUACGGCCGCAAGGCUAAAACUCAAAGGAAUUGACGGGGGCCCGCACAAGCGGCGGAGCAUGCGGAUUAAUUCGAUGCAACGCGAAGAACCUUACCAAGGCUUGACAUACACCGGAAACGGCCAGAGAUGGUCGCCCCCUUGUGGUCGGUGUACAGGUGGUGCAUGGUUGUCGUCAGCUCGUGUCGUGAGAUGUUGGGUUAAGUCCCGCAACGAGCGCAACCCUCGUUCUAUGUUGCCAGCGGGUUAUGCCGGGGACUCAUAGGAGACUGCCGGGGUCAACUCGGAGGAAGGUGGGGAUGACGUCAAAUCAUCAUGCCCCUUAUGUCUUGGGCUUCACGCAUGCUACAAUGGCCGGUACAAAGGGCUGCGAUACCGUAAGGUGGAGCGAAUCCCAAAAAGCCGGUCUCAGUUCGGAUUGAGGUCUGCAACUCGACCUCAUGAAGUCGGAGUCGCUAGUAAUCGCAGAUCAGCAACGCUGCGGUGAAUACGUUCCCGGGCCUUGUACACACCGCCCGUCAAGUCAUGAAAGUCGGUAACACCCGAAGCCGUGGCCUAACCCUUGUGGAAGGAGCCGUCGAAGGUGGGAUCGGUGAUUAGGACGAAGUCG
rnacentral:rRNA from 2 species